GGGGGAGGAAAGCCUUUGGGUUGUAAACCCCUUUUCUCAGGGAAGAAGAAAGUGACGGUACCUGAGGAAUCAGCCUCGGCUAACUCCGUGCCAGCAGCCGCGGUAAUACGGAGGAGGCAAGCGUUAUCCGGAAUGAUUGGGCGUAAAGCGUUCGUAGGUGGCAAUUCAAGUCUGCUGUCAAAGACAGUAGCUCAACUACUGCAAGGCAGUGGAAACUGAAUAGCUAGAGUGCGGUAGGGGCAGAGGGAAUUCCCGGUGUAGCGGUGAAAUGCGUAGAGAUCGGGAAGAACACCGGUGGCGAAAGCGCUCUGCUGGGCCGCAACUGACACUGAGGGACGAAAGCUAGGGGAGCGAAUGGGAUUAGAUACCCCAGUAGUC
rnacentral:rRNA from 1 species